GCCGAAGUGGCGGAAUUGGUAGACGCGCUAGGUUUAGGACCUAGUCCUUUUUAUAAGGGUGAGAGUUCGAAUCUCUCCUUCGGCA
rnacentral:tRNA from 1 species